GCUUACGGCCAUACCACCCUGAAUGCGCCCGAUCUUGUCUGAUCUCGGAAGCUAAGCAGGGUCAGGCCUGGUUAGUACUUGGAUGGGAGACCGCCUGGGAAUACCAGGUGCUGUAAGCU
rnacentral:rRNA from 1 species